GUGGAAUGAAACCAGGAAGCACAAAGUUUCAGGAGAGCAAAGAUCCCCCCAGGAAGGAAAAGACAAGGACACGGUGAUGUGUUUGUGCCUCAGAAGAGAAAAUAGAAAAAAAAUCACCAACGUCUACUUCUGCAGAAUACUUCGCCCCAUUGUGAUAAGGGGGCCCUGGCCUGCCUCUGGCCUUCUGGGGACCCUCUGUCGGGUAUCAGGACUGGCUAGAUGUGGGCAUCUCAGUGGGAGGCAUGGAGAGGUCUCCUGCCACCUGACUGCAUCCAGACUGAGCUGUCACGAUUCACACCUGAGACUCUGCCUGCUCUGGCCUCCCACUCAGCUUCCUUUCUGGUCUGAGAGCCCAUAUUCCACUACUAUACCGAGAUACCGUUUUACAAAGUUCUUUCAUGUCCACCAUCUCCUUGGAAGUGGUAUGAAGAGUGAUCUGGAUACCAGAGAAGCUCAGUGAUGUGCUUGGGCUACCUAGUGAGUAAAGGUGAGUGCUGGGACCCACAGUCUGUCCUCCAGUGGGGAUUUGUGGUUUCUUAUCAAAUCCAUCUAAGGUCCUUCCCAUUCCUAGUCAGGAGUGAUUCAAAACAUCCAUCAUUCAGAAGCCAUCAACAUUUAAAAACUAUUGCCAUUUUAGCUUUAGUUCAAUCUCUAUCUAAGUGGGAUGGGAAACAAUUCAUUUUAUGACAAUGGUGUGAUGCUCUCAUUGCCAGCAGUUUUAUGUAGGUAGAAAGACCCUGAUUCAGUGAAUAAUCCAGGGUACAUAAUCCAGGGUUGCUGAAGGGAGCUUCAGUACAGACAGUUCCUUCAGACAGAACUGCAUGGCUGCUCUUCUGCUCCUUCCCAGUUUGUUGUGGGUAUCAGGACAAUCAAAGUAUCCCAAAAGUCAGCCCUGCCUAGAGCCUCAGCUUGAGUCUCCUCCUCCCUGUCUACUCUGCUGCAUUCAUCUUCUAGACUCUCUGUUUUUUUGCAGUGUCUGCCUGGCCCAUAGGUUGGACUGACAGAUCAAAUUUCUGUUGGACAUGAUUUUUAUCUUGGACUGGGCUACAGUCCUUACUCUCCUACUUACAGCCAGGGCUCUUGAGUACAUCCUUUCUCCAUCUGGCCCUCAUGCCUCUUUCAGUGUAUACAGGCAUGUAGACAGAGAUGAGCUAAGAGCUGCAUGCAAAGAGUGGUUAGCUUCUUUCAGACUUCCUUCUUUGCUUUUUUAAAAAUAGGGUCUCACAAAGCCCCGCCAGGCCUUGAAUUCACAGUAUAAUUGGAGGUGACUGAAUGCUGAUGCUGCAGAAGAUGGUUCUAGAAUACUGGUAUUCUAAUCAUCCUAGUAGAGGGAAGGUAUUCUCACACCUCUCAGUCUGACUCUUAGGUUCUUGAAACAAGGACCCCAAAGAAAUGGGAAUUUCUCCAGGAAUCUCGUGCUGUGAGAAGGAAAACGUGCCAGCCACAAGGGGAACACGAGUCCAGGAAAAGAGAUUUCACACAGUUCUAACAACUUGUCAGAUCACCUUACAGACAGAAUCCAAACUGAUGGAUCAGACGGAGGCCCAAACAAUGAUGGGUUGUUGUUGAUGUGCAGCAUGGGACAUGACCACACCUUUACUGGAACUGUUUGGAUUUACAUAUGCUUGGUCCUCUAUUUAAACUUUGAUCUUACUUCAGAACCAGGGAUUUGCUGGAUUGUCUCUCUUCUCAGAGUGGCCACAUUGAAUAAAUCCCCUUUUUUUCUGAUUUUUGUUUUGUAA
rnacentral:lncRNA from 1 species